GACGAACGCUGGCGGCGUGCCUAAUACAUGCAAGUAGGACGCAGUUGCGAACGGGUGAGUAACGCGUAGGUAACUACCUAUUAGAGGGGGAUAACUAGUGGAAACGAUAGCUAAUACCGCAUACUAGUAGAUGGACCUUCGGUGUAUUAGCUAGUAGGUAGGGUAAUGGCCUAUCUAGGGAACGAUACAUAGCCGAGCUGGGGAGGUGAAUGGGCAACAUGGGACUUGAACACGGGCCAGACCUCCACGGGAGGGCACAGUAGGGGAUUGUUGGAAAUGGGGGGAAACCCGACCGAGGAACGCCGCGGGAGUGAAGAAGGUUUUUGGAGCGUAAAGCUCUGUUGUGAAGGAAGCGGUACUUAACCAGAAAGGGACGGCUAACUCCGUGCCAGCAGCCGCGGUAAUUC
rnacentral:rRNA from 1 species